AAAGUUGUUCGAAGCGGUCUCAGGCACUGCCAGGUGACCGCUUAGACAUCAACACCCUCUGUAUUAUACCGUUGUUGCUUUGGCGGGCCGGCCUCGACCAGCCGCCUGCUGGAAGCUGUCAGUGGACCUCUAAGCCAGGAGGACCGUAGAGAACUCUGUCAAUCAUGUUAACGUGAUUGUCUGAGUACUAUAGAAUAAGUUA
rnacentral:misc_RNA from 1 species